rnacentral:rRNA from 1 species
CCCUUAGAUGUUCUGGGCCGCACGCGCGCUACACUGAUGCAUUCAACGAGUUCUACCUUGGCCGAGAGGCCUGGGCAAUCUUUUGAACCUGCAUCGUGAUAGGGAUAGAUUAUUGCAAUUAUUAAUCUUCAACGAGGAAUGCCUAGUAAGCGCAAGUCAUCAGCUUGCGUUGAUUACGUCCCUGCCCUUUGUACACACCGCCCGUCGCUCCUACCGAUUGAAUGGUCCGGUGAAGCGUUCGGACCGUGGCCUUUGGACGGUUCGCCGUCUGUUGGCUGCGGGAAGUUCGUUAAACCUUAUCAUUUAGAGGAAGGAGAANUCGUANCA